UUUUUUUUUUUGGUUCAUAGAAUAGGAGGUGAAAUGAUACGUAUCUUAAUUUUUAUGGGAAAAGACAUGCAAUUCGAUGCAUAGCAUAGGGAUCUUUUCAUUGAAUUUAGGGUAAUAUUUUCUUUUGAAAUGUGAUCGAUUGGUUCUUAUCCUACAUAGGAAUAGGAUCCAUUCCUAUAUGUACCAAAGGGCUCCAAAAAAAACUCCUACAAUUUUUUCCCUUUAAAAUUCCUGUAAAGCAAAGGAGGUCUAAGCUACUGCGGCGUACCGAUCAGCCGAUGAACCGAGUGGCAAUCUCGGGUAUCGUGGGAAUGUGUCUAGUACCCCACCCUUGUGAUACCAUCGAUGCACCGGAUGUCACAACUAAUUUAAAUGUUUGAUAAAAUCUGAAAAAAUUAUAGGACAUUGAAACAACAUUAAUAUAUGUUGUCACAAAAUUUCAUAUUAAAAUUUGAAACAUUGCUCGAGAAUACAACUGACAAAUUUGACAUCGGUCCGAUAAUGGGCCAAAUCUAAAGUCCAACUUGUGCUAUAUACAAUUUAGUGUUGAAUUUGUUUUUUUAUUUUCCAAGCUAUGUUUCAAAUUUUGAUUUGAUUUUUAUGAACAUACAUCAACAUUAUCUGAAUGUGCUAAAAAUUAAAUUAUUAUUUUAAAAUGUUCUACACGAGUUUGAUGCACCAGUGCACCAGAUAUUCUCCCUUAGUAUCAUAUGCACAUGCGCAAACUCUCUAGUAUUAAGGUAUAAGCAGUGGGCAAACAUGGAUGGAACAGCAAUCCUACGCACCUAGCCCUCCCCGCCCCCUAGUGUGUUUUCAUCACUUUUUAUCGUUGAUUUUAUUCUUUUGCUUCAUGCCAAACCGUGUCUUGUUUUCAUUGUCUGUUUCUUUUUUGUUAUGUUUUGGUUGCCAUUUUAUAUUUUAAAUAUGUGUUUAAUUUUCAAUCUAUGCUUUUUUAAACAAUUAUACAUGAACAUUUUAUAGAAAAGCAUGAACAUUUAAUAAAAUUCAUGAUUUUUUAAACACAUUUUAUAAAUUCACAAACAUUUCUAAAAAAUACAAUUUCAUAAAAAGCAUUGCAUUUCUUCAAAUCUAUUGAAUGAAACGGAAUUACUUCAUACAAAAACAGUGCAAAACCAAUAAUAGACAAGAUGAGAAUCUGUCAAAUAAAAAUAGCAAGGUAUCUAACUAAUAAAAAAUAAUGGAUCAGACCAGCGAUUCAGAACUACAGCUGCUAACCGAGAUAUCUAAGGGCAAUUCCAACGCUAGACGGUAGCUACCGGUGCUAAUUGAUCGUUAAUUAAACAGCCAAUUCACCUCUUGUNNNNNNNNNNNNNNNNNNNNNNNNNNNNNNNNNNNNNNNNNNNNNNNNNNNNNNNNNNNNNNNNNNNNNNNNNNNNNNNNNNNNNNNNNNNNNNNNNNNNNNNNNNNNNNNNNNNNNNNNNNNNNNNNNNNNNNNNNNNNNNNNNNNNNNNNNNNNNNNNNNNNNNNNNNNNNNNNNNNNNNNNNNNNNNNNNNNNNNNNNNNNNNNNNNNNNNNNNNNNNNNNGCCAGGAUUUCGGGGCUCAACUACCAAUCCACGGGGAAAUUGCUAGGAAAUUGAUCCUUGUUCCUCUUCUAGCGUAUCCCGUUGGAGAUGCUAACUAUCUUGUCUAUUCCAUUGUAGCGAUAAACCGAAUGCCAGCUUCGGUAUCAUACAAGCAGGUGCAAAUUUCCAACGAUGUCAACCCCCGUGGCUGUUUGGGAUGCAUUGGGCGCGCGACAUCCACCCUAGUCUCCUCUAGGCACAAAACUCAGUAUGCUUUAGAUAAGCUUCGCACAAGCACCCGACCCUACUGGACCAGCCCAUCACAGCCAGCGGCCCAUGCAGCGAACAACGCACUGUAGCUAGCCGGUUCAUUCUAGUGAACUGGUAACUGUAGCGACUUGUGCACUCUAAGGACCCGGUAUACUAUAGCGAAUCAAUAUUUUGCUAAUUUUUUAAAACGUGAACAUUAGUUGACUUUUCUGUAUAUUUUCAAAAUUCUAAACAAUUUCAGAAACGUGAACAUCUUUGAAAAUUCCCCAAGUUGUUUUGAAAAUGCAAACAUUUUUUGAAUUUGAGGCCAAAUUUUAGAAAUGAAACUUCUUUUGAAAUUCCAAAAAAAAAAUUGGAAACACGGAACUAUUUUGAAUUUGUGAACAAAAUUUAAAAAUAAUAACAUUUUUUGAAAUUAUGAACAAAUUUUGAAAAUGGGACAUUUUAAAAUUACUUAAAUGUUGAAUUUGUAGUGUUAAUCGAUCAUAGUCGGAUGGGGGUUAGUAGUAACUUAGAGCUAUGGAGACAAACUUUGGAAUCAAAAGGUGUUAGGCUUAGUAAAAUUAAAACAAGUACAUGAGGUGCAAUUUUAGUACAAGUAGGCACGAGAGGAGAUGGUGAGCCUUAAUGGCUAGGUCGUACCUUAGAACGUCACCUUUCAAUUUUGGUGUGCAUGUUGCAGAAGGAUGGUGACAUCGAUGAAGAUCUGAUCCAUCAAAUCAAAGACAGGUGGAUGAAGUGGUGCUAAGCUUUUCAUGUUCUCUGUGACAAGCGAGUGCCACAAAAACCUAAGACAUUUCCAUAGGAUGGUGAUUCGACCUACGAUGUUGUAUGACGAUGAGUGUUAGCCAAGUAAAGAGCGACAUGCUCAACAAUUAGGUGUAGAGGAAAUGCGCAUCUUGAGAUGGAUGUGUUGGGGAACGUGGUAAUUUCAAAACAUUUCCUACGCACACGCAAGAUCAUGGUGAUGCAUAGCAACGAGAGGGGAGAGUGCUGUCCACGUACCCUCGUAGACCGAAAGCGGAAGCGUUAGCACAACACGGUUGAUGUAGUCAUACGUCUUCACGAUCUGACCGAUCAAGUACCGAACGCACGGCACCUCCGAGUUCAGCACACGUUCAGCCCGAUGAUGUCCCUCGAAAUCCGAUCCAGCCGAGUGUUGAGGGAGAGUUUCGUCAGCACGACGGCGUGGUGACGAUGAUGAUGUUCUACCGACGCAGGGCUUCGCCUAAGCACCGCUACAGUAUUAUCGAGGUGGACUAUGGUGGAGGGGGGCACUGCACACGGCUAGAAGAUCAAACGAUCAAUUGUUGUGUCUUUGGGGUGCCCCUCUGCCCCCGUAUAUAAAGGAACAAGGGGGGGAGGUGCGGCCGGCCAGGAGGAGGCGCGCCAGGAGGAGUCCUACUCCCACCGGGAGUAGGAUUCCCCCCCCCCUUCCAAGUAGUAGGAGUAGGAGUCAAGGAAAGGGGAGAGAGAAGAGAAGGAAGGAGGGGCCCGCCCCCUAGUCCAAUUCGGACUAGGCCUUGGGGGGGCGCCCAGCCUCUCCUCUCUCUUUGCCCUAAAGCCCAAUAAGGCCCAUAUACUCCCCGGCGAAUUUCCGUAACUCUCCGGUACUCCGAAAAAUACCCGAAUCACUCGGAAGCUUUCCGAUGUCCGAAUAUAGUCGUCCAAUAUAUCGAUCUUUACGUCUCGACCAUUUCGAGACUCCUCGUCAUGUCCCCGAUCUCAUCCGGGACUCCGGACUACCUUCAGUACAUCAAAACACAUAAACUCAUAAUAUAACCGUCAUCGAACUUUAAGCGUGCGGGCCCUACGGGUUCGAGAACUAUGUAGACAUGACCGAGACACGUCUCCGGACAAUAACCAAUAGCGGAACCUGGAUGCUCAUAUUGGCUCCCACAUAUUCUACAAAGAUCUUUAUCGGUCAGACCGCAUAACAACAUACGUUGUUCCCUUUGUCAUCGGUAUGUUACUUGCCCGAGAUUCGAUCGUCGGUAUCUCAAUACCUAGUUCAAUCUCGUUACCGACAAGUCUCUUUACUCGUUCUGUAAUACAUCAUCCCGCAACUAACUCAUUAGUUGCAAUGCUUGCAAGGCUUAAGUGAUGUGCAUUACCGAGUGGGCCCAGAGAUACCUAUCCGACAAUCGGAGUGACAAAUCCUAAUCUCGAAAUACGCCAACCCAACAAGUACCUUCGGAGACACCUGUAGAGCACCUUUAUAAUCACCCAGUUACGUUGUGACGUUUGAUAGCACACAAAGUGUUCCUCUGGUAAACGGGAGUUGCAUAAUCUCAUAGUCAUAGGAACAUGUAUAAGUCAUGAAGAAAGCAAUAACAGAAUAUUAAACGAUCGUGUGCUAAGCUAACGGAAUGGGUCAAGUCAAUCACAUCAUUCUCCUAAUGAUGUGAUCCCGUUAAUCAAAUGAUAACUCAUGACUAUGGCUAGGAAACAUAACCAUCUUUGAUCAACGAGCUAGUCAAGUAAAGGCAUACUAGUGACACUAUGUUUGUCUAUGUAUUCACACAUGUAUUAUGUUUCCGGUUAAUACAAUUCUAGCAUGAAUAAUAAACAUUUAUCAUGAUAUAAGGAAAUAAAUAAUAACUUUAUUAUUGCCUCUAGGGCAUAUUUCCUUCAGGAUGUGUGACCACGCCAGAAGUGAUAUGGUUCGGAAUGAUGAUGACAUACAUAAUAUAAUUGGGAUAGCACCGAUAGAAGAGAAACUUGUCGAACAUCGUUUAACAUGGUUUGAGCAUAUACAACGUAGCAUCCAGAAGAUCCAGUGCAUAGCGGAUGGUUAAAGCGUGCAGAUAAUGCCAAGAGAGCUCGGGAUACACCAAACUUAACAUGAAAGGAGUCCGUAAAGAGAUAUCUGAAGACAUAAGACAUCGCCAAAAAUUUCACACAUGGCAAGAAUGUGUGGAAGUUAGCUAUCCAUGUUCCAGAACCAUGAGUUGAUUUUGACAUCUUUUAGGAUUGAACUCUAGCCUACCACAACUUCUUUUGGCUAACGGCUUUGCCGUAAAACACGAUGAAGUUUAUGAAUAUUUAGGAAAAUGUGAUUUUUUUACUUUUUUGAAUAUUUUUAAUACAUGAACAUUUUUUGAAUUUGUGAACACUUUUUGAAAAUGUGAAUAUAUUUUGCAAUUUUGCAAAUAUUUUUUACAUUUUUUAAAUUUCUUUAGUAAAGUCACAAACAUUUUUGAACAAAUGUGAACUAGAAAAACAACAGAAAAAUAGAAAAAGAAAACAAACAAAAAUGAAAAUUGAUUCAAAAACCAUCUAAAAGGUUCCCAAAACCGACUAGGAAUCUUUCAGAACGUCCCAUAACUGGCUUUGUUUUAUAUUUACUAAUAAGCUGGCCUAACGCAGUUAGAUUGGCAGCCAGCCCUAUGCCAGCCAAACCAAGGAAAUAUGUUGCAGAAUGCGACAGGACUAUAUCUGGGUCAACGCGAGUCGGAAUAGUCUCGCCUGAAGCUCUUUUGUUACCCGUGUAUUAGUAGGCCAACCCAUUUCUAGCGAUCUUCCACGCUCCCACGCUCGAUCGUUACCGCUCGUGUUUUUUUCUAUUCCAUUCUUCUUCCUAUUUUUUUGUCUCACGGGUUUCUUAGGGUUUUACUCUAUCUUCUCACCAUUUUAUUCUAGUUUUUACUGGGUUUUUUUCUUAUUCUUUUGCUUUGUUUUUCCUUGGUUUUAUUUUGUUCCUUUCGUCAUUUUAUUGGGUUUUCUUUUCUUUUUGAUUUUAUUUGUUUUCAUUCGAUUUUGAUUUGAUUACUAGGUUUUUCUUGUUUUCUCAUCGGUGUUUCUAUCUUCCGUUUCUUCGGUUUUCACCACUUUGAUUUGUUCUUUUUCUUCUUUCUGCAACACGUGUCUAUAUUUUUCAUACACAUUUUUACAUUUUACAUAUACAUCAGACAUUUCUGAAAUAUAUGAUUAACAUUUAUUAUACACGAUCAACAUGUUUUCAAAUUUAUGUUAUGAAAUUCAUUUUUUAAUACAUGUUCUACAUUUUCCGUACACAUCAGAAACAUUUUUCGUGCACACGUUUAACAUUUUUGAAGUAGAUGAUUAUUUUUAAAAAAAUAUUUAUGUUUGAGUAAUACCUUUUUCAAACACAUUUUACAUUUUUGGUAUAUAUAUAAUAAACAUUUUUGUGCAUGUUUCAAAAUUUUAAAACAUAGGAUUAAUUUUUUUGAUACGCUAUAAGUAUGUUAAAAAAAAUCAGGUUUUCAUGUUCAGUUUUAUAAUACAAGCUCUACAUUUUUUGUAUGCAUCAGUAACAAUUUUUUAUACAUUUUUCUUUUUUCAAAAUAGAUGAUUAUUAUUUUUGGAAUAUUUAUCUUUGAAGAGUACUUUAUUUCAUACACAUUAUACAUUUCUAGUAUCUGUCAUGAUUUUUUAAAAGAUUUUACAUUUUUUAUUACUUGAUUAACAAUUCUUAAAUGCAUGAUCAACUUUUUCCCACCUAUUGUAUAUUUUUGUAUACAUGAGAUACAUUUUUUUAUACAUAUUUAACAUUUUUGGAAUGCCUGAUUAACAUUUUUUUAAUUUUUACUUUAGUGCAUUUUUCAAAUAUUAUACAUAUAUAUAAUAUUUCGAAGUAUAUAAAAAAGUGAAGAAAAAGCAGAAAAUAAACAUCUAAAAAACGAGGUUGUGGCCCUCCCACGAGCUGGCCCAGCCCAGUCUCGCGCUCUCUCAGGUGUGACUGCCACAAGACAUAGGAACAACUAAUUAACGAGCGCUCCUUGCAGCACGCCACUUGUCACACGGUUUAAGAGAUAAAACAUUUUGAAUAAACGGAUCUACGAAAAAAUGGCACUUGAAGCGUGCCACUUGUCACAACCCAGAGAGGUUGGAGUGAUCUCUCCUCAGUUAGUGAUUUCGAUAAGACAUCCCCUAAAAAAACGUAAAACAAGACAUAGGCGCGGCCCAUAGUAUGCGGAGAAUAGGAUUUCACCGUGUUAAUUAUAAAAUAGCGGCGAACAGCUCACGCAUGGUCUAUGUGGACCAGCUUAAUAGGUGCUUCAUGGAAGAAAAACACCUAGAGUUGUUUCGCUUUUAAGGAAAAAUAAAGGAAAUAUAGAGUUCCCGCAAAAAGAGUCAAAAUAGUAUGCAUGUUUAAAAUUUAUAGAAAGAAGUUCACAAAUUUAAUCAAAUGGUCAUGACUUUUUUGCAUCAAAAUUUUAUAUUAAUGUCCUGAAUUAUAAAACUAACACACAUGUUAUAAAUAUUGACACGUUGAAAAAUGUCACGCAUUUGAAAUAAAUAAUGCAGUAAAAUAUUCAUGAUCUUAAAUUUUCUUAAUGUAUUUUUGUUCGUUGUGCGCCCCCGACCAAGGAAUCUAAAUAUUUAUCUACGGCCGCAUAACGACGACCAAUGAACGACUGACAAUUUUCGGUACGUACGCUCUGGCGCAAACUCUCUGGUGCCAUAAGGUACAAGUACAAGCGGUGGCCAAAUAUGCAGUGAACAGCACGCGGAGCUCCUAUCCGNNNNNNNNNNNNNNNNNNNNNNNNNNNNNNNNNNNNNNNNNNNNNNNNNNNNNNNNNNNNNNNNNNNNNNNNNNNNNNNNNNNNNNNNNNNNNNNNNNNNNNNNNNNNNNNNNNNNNNNNNNNNNNNNNNNNNNNNNNNNNNNNNNNNNNNNNNNNNNNNNNNNNNNNNNNNNNNNNNNNNNNNNNNNNNNNNNNNNNNNNNNNNNNNNNNNNNNNNNNNNNNNNNNNNNNNNNNNNNNNNNNNNNNNNNNNNNNNNNNNNNNNNNNGCUAUUGGUCUUUUAGUUUCUCUAAUUUCUUUUUUAUUUUUAAUUUCAUAACUGUUCACGAAUCUUAUAUGCGAAAAAGGUGUUCAGGAUUUCAAAAAUGUUCUUAAUUUUGUAAACUGUUCAUAAAAUUGGAAUCCGUUCACAAAUUCAAAAAUCUUUACCAAUUUGAAAGAUAUCAGGAUUUCAUGAAAUGCUCAUGAAUUAAAAAAUGUACACAAAACUAAGAAAUUAUUGUUAUUUAAAAAAUAUCAGGAUUUCGAAAAUUAUUGUUAUUUAAAAAAUUCUUCAUUGAUUCUAAAUUUGUUCAUGAAUUCAAAAAAUAUUCAUCAAUUCGAAAAAAAAAUCGUGCAUUUCAACAAUUGUUCCCAAUUUUCAAAACUCUUUGUUGAUUCAAAAAGGUUCAUAACAUUAAAAAUAAUGUUUGUACAUUCAAAAAUAGUUUCUGAAUUGCAAAAAAUGUUCAAAAUUUGAAAAAAUUUCUUAAAUUUUAAAAAAAUCUUGUAGACUUGAAAAACCUCAUGAAUUACAAAUGGUUCAUGAGUUUCAAAAAGUUGCGUAUUUGAAAAAUGAAAAAAAAAGAAAAACUGAAAGAAAAAUAGAAGGGAAAAUUAGGCCGGUUCAGGGAAGGCCCUAGAAACUUCCCCAAACCAGUUGGUAGAAAACCAAAAUUGGGUCGGACCAGUUGAAGUAGGGCUGGCAGCUGGGGUACGCGUGAUAACGCAUCCCGUGACCAAUGCGCUAAAUAGGAGCCGCGACUUGCAAGGGCGCGCAGAAUGAGGCGUCCCUAUAUCUCGCCUUCAGCGAGUCCACCUUCAGAACCACUCAAGGAGCGACCGAGAUGGGCCGGCCGACGCUCGCGGCAGGCCACGGGAUAUUCUUCCUUUUUCCUUUAUAUUUUUGUUUUCUGUUUUAGUUUUUCCCUUUAUUUUGUACUCUUGUUUAUACUUAAACAUAUUCUAAAUAUGGAUAUUAAAAAAGCACUCUACAAAAAACAUUUGAAAAAUGUUGAACAAGCAUUUGAAAAUGUUUAAUAAAUUAAAAAAAAACUAAAAAGUAUUUGAAAAAUGUUGAACAAGCGUUCUGACAAAUGUUGAGCGUAUACAAAAAAAAAUUGAUCAGUUAUUAAAACAAUGAUGAUUUUUUUUAUCAUUUGUAUAAAAAUGUUAAUCAAGCAUUUGAAAAAAUGUUGAACAUGUAUUUGAAAAACUUUAAUCAAGUAUUUGGGAAAUAUUAAAUGUGCAUAUAAAAAAUAUUGACCAUGUAUUAAAUAAAUGAUGAAAAAAAAUUGAUCAUGCAUACAUAAAAAUGUUAAUCAAGUAUUUCAAAAAAAUGUUGAACAAGUGUUUGCAAAAUGUUAAUCAAACGUUUGGAAAAUGUUAAAUUGUAUAGUGAAUGUUAUUCAAAACAUGUUAAUUUUUUAUUUUAAAGUUUCUAAUCAAGAAUUUGAAAAAAAAUGUUAAAACUUUAUACAAGAAAUGUUGACCAUGUAUUAUUAUUAAAUGUAUAGAAAAAAUGUUGACCAAAUGUUAAUCUUGUAUUUAAAAAAUGUUAAAACUAUGUAUAGAAAAAAUGUUGACCAUGUAAUUCCAAAAUGUAUGAUUUGUAUUGGAAAGAUGUUAGACAUGUAUUAGAAAAAUGUUGGAAUAAUAAACAAAGAUAGCCAAAAUUAGAAACAAAAGAAAUAAGAGAAAAAAAGAAAAGAAAGAAACAAAAUGCAAAAUGAAAGAAAAAUGGAGAAGAAGAAAUAAAAAAGAAAAUAAAAGAAAAAGGAAAAAAUCCCGAAGAAAACGGCUGGAGUAGUCUCAAGUAGGACGCGGCCCUAGGGCUUACCACAAAAGGAGCUUGGGCGCAGUGGCUGGCGUAGCGCGCAAUCUCCUAGAGGCUAUGGAUUGAUCCCUCCUUGCAUUUCCUCUACUCUUUUUAUGACUAUGCACGUGUGAAUGGGGCGGACCAACACGACACGACGGGGGAAAAGCUUCAGCGAGAGCUGCUACUUGUCUCACUUAAUGCAAUAAAUAGUCGUCGCGGUGCAGGACAACCCCUUUCCCUCCACCUAUUAGGCGACCUAAUGCGGCAUUGUUUUUUCCCUUUACAUAUAUUUGUCGGUUUUGUUGUUGGUUUUUUAUGGGCCAACCCAUGACUAGUUUUCCUUUUUGUUUAUUCUUAUCUUUGUUCGUAAAAAAUAUUUUUUUUUGCGUCUUCCUUUUUUGUUUUAAUAUUUUUAUCACACAUGGUAUUAUAAAACUCUCCCCGAAUACUUUUGCUAGGAAAAUCAUGAACCUUUUUGAAAAAUCUUGAAGAGUUUUAAAGUUUGUUAGCAUUUUUAAAAUCAUGAAGAUUGUUUAGAAUCUUUGUAAACAUUUUUGCAUUUUUUUUCUUCAUAUUUUUGCAUUUCCUUCGAUAUAUUAAAUAGAAAAAUAUUGUAAAAUUUAGUGCAACUCAUUAGUGGGUCAGAUUAGGAUUUAUCAAAUAAUUAAUACAACAAAUCAAAGAUUAAAUGGGCCAACCUAUCACAGCAGGGGUGUGCUUGGUUCCUAGCCAACAAAGUAGGGCGUGGAAUAAGAGGUCUCCAAGCGUCGCACAGUAGCACCAGCCACUGUCAAUAACUAGAGUGGUAUGUGCUUAAGCUGUCGUGGAGCCCAACACUCACUCCGGUCCUCCUCUUGGCACAAAACUCAUUAGGGCAUGUACAAUGGUUCUAACUUAGAAAUGCCACGUAGGAUAAAUGAUGAGAUGGAAAAGAGAGAAAUCAUAAGAAAAGGCUUGUCUUCUUAUUUAAGAGAAGACAAGAGAUGAUCUCUUAGCACAAUAUGUUUCACCACGUUUUUAAGAAUAACUAGUUAUUAAAGAUAAGGCUAAGAAAUGACCCAUUGUAGACAUAUUUUUUAUCAUCUCUAAAUUACAUGCAAGACUUAAGAUAAGACUAUUUUAUCAACCACUGUACAUGCAAGACUUCAGAUUAAAUUCACUAGGACCAAGAUAGUUAGUGAUUGGUUGUACCACAUACUAGAAAAUAACAUCCAUUGUUAACUACAGCGCCAAAUUAGUGGAGAAAUUAAUGCGUAGUUUUUCCCACAGCGUAAACGAGCAGUCCUAGCGCAUGCAGUAGUGGAGACCGACCGCAUGCAGCCCACGCGCACUCAGAACGGCCUAAUUAACUCUGCAUUAAUUACCAACAUGCCUUAAUCUUCUCCUAUUCUGAAAAUGCAUGAAAACUGAAGUGCGCUUCUAAACCGUGAUGGAGGGGGUAUUAGAUUUUUCUAGGUACAGAUGUACCUAGACAUGAGUAAUAAACAAGAACAUAACACUUUUUGCUUGUUGAUGAGGAAAAAGAGUAUAGCUCGUGAACAGUACUACUGCAAGGAUCUUGGUAUGUAGUAGUAGUACACCACAUCCUCGCCCUUUAUUUCUUGUUUGGACGGCUUUAGACGCGUACGCGCACGCCGGACGUUUAUUCUACAUAAGCCAUGCGUGUUCUCUGUUCUAUGCAUGGUCGAUCUCGAUCAGGCCCGCCCGAAGCACCUAG
rnacentral:lncRNA from 1 species